CCUCUCCCCUCGAGAGAAUGUGAAUGCGUAGUAUUAGCACGUGCUAAUACUUCCGUGCGACGAAUCCUUUUCAGGACGUCUUCGGACACCUGGAUGUAUGACUUGGGAACUGCGGAAAAAGAAAGAAUCCGCCACGAAGACACCAAUACGCCAAGUAACAAGUAAAUGACCACUCGGCGAAGAAAGGAACACAAUCGCCAUGUAGGACUUCGACGAGCUUUGGAGUGCGUUCCGGAGUGCAUACGGAACUGUGGAAGCUCUAGUUGUCGUUGCGAGGACACUUCUUUGACGGGAAGUCGAAACAUGGACUAAAGCUUUCGUCGCCGUCGACGCAGGUUAGAAUUUAUCGAGGAGAGGGGGAAAUAAGCAAUGCGGCGACGUAGGUGUUGUGUUACUACUAUGUGUCUAUGCACUAUAUUGCUACUAGUUUGAUUUGGCGGUGGAACUAGUGCAUACCUCGCAAGGGAAGCGGGCGUAGCCCCGAACAAGCGAUGAGAACAAAGUGUGUUCGCCGCCACAGAAUGGAGACCAUUCUUCAUAUCUGAAGGUGAAGGAGAGAGCGAAUGAGUUGGAGCACAUCUUCGUCGAUGCACGUACAGAAGGCCCCUUGCAGUGCAGACUCGUGGGAGGAAAAAUGUAUUAGGAUUACUGGUUGCCCGCAGGAAGAACACAAGGUCACCAAUUGUGCACACGCAACAAGGGGUGUAAAAUACUUGGAAGAUUAGAUUAGGGGGAUAUACUGACCAAUGGAUUUUAGAUAGUAUAGAGCAGUCAUCUCAUAUAAAAAGACAAUAAAAGAAGUACUUCCUGAAGUGAACUCUACGUGAACCUUAAAUCGAUUUACAUACCCCAUAACAAAGUAUUAACAAGCAACGAAAGACUCAAGAAAUCAUUGGGCAGACGUGAUUGGAGUGUGAGGGCCUGUUGGUUCCACCCAGAACCCACGAUGAUAGUUACAGAUGAGGUCACAGUCAUCCCAACCCCCCACACGUCGGACACUAAUAGUUUGGCUGUGGCUCCCGUACAGAAUCGUCCAUCCAAUGACAAGCCUGGUGGGGAGAAUAAUGACACCUGCGUUAGGUGUGGAGAUGCCCCGCCCGACGCCAUGAAGGACAAACAGGGUCAGCUCCGGAACGCAGAUGGACUGAUAGAUGUGUUUGUCAUCGCGGGGCCGUGCACAAAGAUUAGAUGGAUGUGUUCCUCGUCUAAAUAUUUAUUCAUGUUUCUGUUUUUUUGUUGAGCGGGGUUGUAUCACAAAGUAUUUCAUUUAGCGGUCUCAUCUUGCUUGUCGAGCUUCACCCUUGUCGGUUCCUGGAUUAACCGCUGCAGUGGUGCACCUUUUGCUAAUGGCCUGACAGCUUCGGCAUGAACGACUUGAACCAACUUGCUGAUGGACCACAACAGUACACAGGAGAGUCUGGUAUAUGCUUCCUAUUAAACACAUCUCAGAAGCAAUUCAUUUAGCUGUGCUUCCUGUUGAUUGAAGCCAUAUGUAUCUAACUAGAGAGUAGGAAGGGCUGGGCAAUAAUGCAAUAUUAUGGUUUAUCCUGAUUGUAUGGUAUUGUAUUAUCAUGAAAUGAAGAUAUAGACUUAUCAGAUGCAGAGUUUUAUAGUCUAAAUUAAUUAUGAAAAUACAUACAAAAAAAUAUCAAAAUAGUCAACAUGAGAGAGAAAGGUGAACUAUUUUUAGUCCCAUACCCUACUAUCUUAGAUGUGCACAUGUAAGAUUUGUAUUGGUGAGAAUUUAAAAUACACAAAAUAAACUCAAAGUUGUGAACAUUUUUACAUUGGCAUUAAUACCUCUAGAUCAUUUUUGUGUGCUCGAUUGAGAAGA